UUAAGCUAUAGUUUUUUUAGUUUUCUAACUUUGGAUGUCUUUAUUAUUUAGUUGGAUGUUUUAGUUGCAAAGGAUUUCCGAGAAGCAGAUAUUCAGGGAGUUAUUGCUGAGGUUCCUGAUAUAUUACUAAGGUGUGUUAGCAAAGAUGAGGCCGCCUUGGCUGUUGCACAAAAGGUAUUCAAAAGUUUGUACGAGAGCUCAUCAAAUGCUACUUAUGUUGGCGCUUACCUAGCAAUUCUUGCUGCUAUACGAGAUGUUUGCAAACUUGUUGUUAAAGAGCUUACUAGCUGGGUAUAACUCUAUAUCUUAAUGCUUCCUUUGGCAAGAUCUGACCGUUUUUAAUAUCAUAACUGUUUUGUUAUUACGUGGUUGUUUUACCAAGACAUUCAAUACAUUCUAUUUUCUGAUUAGCAUGCUAUAAUUUCUUCUUUUC